rnacentral:rRNA from 1 species
ACGAACGCUGGCGGCGUGCUUAACACAUGCGAGUCGAACGGUGAAGCUCCAGCUUGCUGGAGUGGAUCAGUGGCGAACGGGUGAGUAACACGUGAGCAACCUGCCCCUGACUCUGGAAUAAGCGCUGGAAACGGCGUCUAAUACUGGAUACGAGAAGGGUCCGCAUGGGCACUUUCUGGAAAGUUUUUCGGUUGGGGAUGGGCUCGCGGCCUAUCAGCUUGUUGGUGAGGUAAUGGCUCACCAAGGCGACGACGGGUAGCCGGCCUGAGAGGGCGACCGGCAACCUGGGGACUGGGACACGGCCCGACCUCCUACGGGAGGAAGCGGGGGGAAAUUUGCAAAAAGGGCCGAAGGCCGAAGGCGGCACCCCGGGGGGGGGAAGGGCGGCUUGCGGUUUGAAAACUUGUUCCACAGGGAAAAAAGGAAAGGGGAGGGACCUGGAAAAAGAACCACCGGCAACCUCCGUC